GCCUUGCCAGCCCGCUCAGAACUUAAAGAAUUGACGGGGCCCGCACAAGCAGCGGAGCAUGUGGUUUAAUUCGAAGCAACGCGAAGAACCUUACCAAGACUUGACAUCCCCUGACAGCUGUUGAAAGGCAGUGUCUCUUCGGAGCAGGGAGACAGGUGGUGCAUGGUUGUCGUCAGCUCGUGUCGUGAGAUGUUGGGUUAAGUCCCGCAACGAGCGCAACCCUUAUCCUUAGUUACCAGCACGUAAAGGUGGGGACUCUAGGGAGACCGCCGGGGACGACUCGGAGGAAGGUGGGGACGACGUCAAAUCAUCAUGCCCCUUAUGUCUUGGGCUACACACGUGCUACAAUGGCCGCAACAGAGGGAAGCGAGAGCGCAAGCUGGAGCAAAACCCUAAAAAGCGGUCCCAGUUCGGAUUGUGGGCUGCAACCCGCCCACAUGAAGUCGGAGUUGCUAGUAAUCGCGAAUCAGCAUGUCGCGGUGAAUGCGUUCCCGGGCCUU
rnacentral:rRNA from 1 species